ensembl:lncRNA
CACACACACACACACACACACACACACACACACACACACACACACACACACACACACACACUCGCCUUUUACAGUUACCACAAUCUGGUUCAAUUUUUCCCAAAUCCUUUUUUCAUUGUUUAUUGAUCUUUUCAUAACUCCACUUAUAAUUGUAGAUAAAUAAUAUUCAUGAAUGCAGACACACACAAAUGAACAUAAAAUGUAAACAUUUAUCAUUUAUUUUAUCAAAGUCUAAAAUAAAUAAACUAAACUGAUCCAUGUUCUACUAUGGAUUUUCUCCAAACAAGAUAUUUAAAUCUUCUUUGGAUGAUACUAAUCAUUUCCAUACAACAAUAUGAUUGUUCUUGCUCAUUUAAAGUUGUUAUUAAUCAUUAAUGAUUGUUUUUUUUUAGAUCAUAUUACAGGAAAGGAUUAUUCAACAUUCAGCCUUUGCCACUCUUUGGCAAAACAACAACUUUUCCUCAACAACAAUCUUUCUCAAUCUGUGUCUGCAUGUCGAGUUCUGCUGUCCUCUUGACCUCAGCACUCUUUCUCCAACUCUCCAUUUGAGUGGUUGCGGCUAAGCUGGACUUGAUUGUGAGAGGAGAGGGGGAACUAACACGCAGGAGGAGGCAGUGGGACAAACUGGUUCGACUGGGACACACCCGGCACACAGUCAUCAAAUCCCAGUGUGGGAAGAUAAAAAGGAGAAAAGGACAACAAGAGUGCAGCCUCUAAACUGUCGGACUGCGAGGAAACUACCGACAGGGGGACUCACAAAACGUCCGAUAGUAGUUGGUGUGAGUGUGUAUGAAUGUAGUGAAUUGAAUAUUGUUGGCAAAUAUUUGUGUUAAAAAAGUAGCUCCAAAUGGGAGACGGCAAGAUGAUACGCGUUUAUUAAAUUGUACUUGUAUAUAUAAUAUUAAAAGUGCAACCAGUGCUGGAAAAAGUUUAUUUAUUAAGAUUAUUUAGUGACAGACUGCAUUGUUGUAAAUACAUUUACAUACAAACAUCAUCAUAGAUGCUCCGAGAUUUGUGUAAUUAAUUUCACCCGGUUUGCAAUUGUUAAACAACAGCUGCUCCUUCCUCUCCCUCGGUCACGUUGCCUUCGAUCCUCUCCACUUGUGUCAAAAAAUGCGAGCAGCUGGACGACGGCCGUCCGCGCGUGGACACAUUUUUAUACUCUGGUCCCUCUGCUGAGCACACGACAGGCUUUUGUUUGUGCCAGAGAGCAUCCGUGUGUCCCAAUUUUAUGUUUAGUUUGUCUCAGUAUGAGAGCGAGAGUUGCGUUUGUGUGUGUGGGGGGGGGGGGGAUCUCCUUCUGGUUCGUCCUGCUGAGGAGAAAUGAGGUCGAUGUGAAACAGCCUGCCUGGCUCAUUUAUGUGCAUAAAGAUGUUAAACAAGUUCAUUAAAGCUUUGGGAAAAUCCA